rnacentral:rRNA from 1 species
UACGUAGGGACCAAGCGUUGUUCGGAUUUACUGGGCGUAAAGGGCGCGUAGGCGGCGUGUUAAGUCAGCUGUGAAAUCUCCAAGCUUAACUUGGAACGGUCAGCUGAUACUGAUGUGCUAGAGUGCAGAAGGGGCAACCGGAAUUCUUGGUGUAGCGGUGAAAUGCGCAGAUAUCAGGAGGAACACCGGUGGCGAAGGCGGAUCUCUGGGCCAUUACUGACGCUGAGGAGCGAAAAGCGUGGGGGAGCGAACAGG